rnacentral:rRNA from 1 species
AAACGGUGGUAAUACCGGAUGCUCCGCUCCAUCGCAUGGUGGGGUGGGAAAUGCUUUUGCGGCAUGGGAUGGGGUCGCGUCCUAUCAGCUUGUUGGCGGGGUGAUGGCCCACCAAGGCGUUGACGGGUAGCCGGCCUGAGAGGGUGACCGGCCACAUUGGGACUGAGAUACGGCCCAGACUCCUACGGGAGGCAGCAGUGGGGAAUAUUGCACAAUGGGCGCAAGCCUGAUGCAGCGACGCCGCGUGCGGGAUGGAGGCCUUCGGGUUGUAAACCGCUUUUGUUCAAGGGCAAGGCACGGUUUCGGCCGUGUUGAGUGGAUUGUUCGAAUAAGCACCGGCUAACUACGUGCCAGCAGCCGCGGUAAUACGUAGGGUGCGAGCGUUAUCCGGAUUUAUUGGGCGUAAAGGGCUCGUAGGCGGUUCGUCGCGUCCGGUGUGAAAGUCCAUCGCCUAACGGUGGAUCUGCGCCGGGUACGGGCGGGCUGGAGUGCGGUAGGGGAGACUGGAAUUCCCGGUGUAACGGUGGAAUGUGUAGAUAUCG